rnacentral:rRNA from 1 species
CAGCAGCCGCGGUAAUACGAAGGGUGCAAGCGUUAAUCGGAAUUACUGGGCGUAAAGCGUGCGUAGGCGGUGAGUUAAGUCUGCUGUGAAAUCCCCGGGCUCAACCUGGGAAUGGCAGUGGAUACUGGCUCGCUAGAGUGUGUCAGAGGAUGGUGGAAUUCCCGGUGUAGCGGUGAAAUGCGUAGAGAUCGGGAGGAACAUCAGUGGCGAAGGCGGCCAUCUGGGACAACACUGACGCUGAGGCACGAAAGCGUGGGGAGCAAACAGGAUUAGAUACCCCAGUAGUCCCUGUCUCUUAUAU